rnacentral:lncRNA from 13 species
UUUGUUCUUGGACUAAACCCUGCUGCUGGCUUCCCUGGUUUUCCAGCUCACUAGUGGCAUAUCUUGGGACUUCUCAGCCUUCAAAAUUAAAAUGUGCUUUUUAGCAGCCUCAACAACAGUUAUCUGGAAGAAAAUGUGGUCUCUGUGAGGGCAAGGAUUCAACAUUUUUUCUAAAAGUUCCAUGAUCUUGGAUUUAAAAUGAAAACAGUUUUGGAGCCUGGGAAGUCCAGUAUCAAGAUGCCUGCAUUUGGUGAGGAUCUUCAUGCUGAUUAUUCCAUGUUGAAAAGCAGAAUGGCAAGAGAGUGCAAGAGCAAGCAGGAAGAUAUCUGAACUCACCUUUUUAUUAGGAACUCACUCCCAUGAAGCUCCUGGAUGAUUUCCUGAACACCAUAAUCUUCCAGAAUUGCUUAAUAAAAUCUCAUCGAAAUCAAUCAAGGUUGAGAAGAAUGGAAUUGUCAUGGUAUUCAGUAAUGAAGAUUCUCCCUCUAGCUGGGUCUAAGGGGAGCUCAUCUUUCUGACACAGGUGGCUACUAAUGUGGACUAAAUCUGUAGUUAGAUUAGUAAAGAAAAAUUGGAAAAGAAUGGCUAGCUGUUCAGUGACCAACAGUGCCUGCCACAGAUCAUAAUAACCUUAUUUCAAAUGAAUCAUAAAUCAAUACCAAGAGGAAUGCGAUGAGAGAAAAAAAUAGAUAAGUAUAGUGGUUUUAUUAUGAAGUCCUGGGGAAGAUUUUGGUACUGUUUUCUGUUUCUGGAAAUGUAAUCUAUUUUUUUUACUUCUAUUUCUUCCAAUAAUUAAUAUUUUUGCAAAAUUAAUAGUCAAUUAUAUAUAGUAAAACUGAGUAUUUGAAAGAAAAUAUUUUAAUCAUGGAAUACUGGAGAAUAUAUAGAGAAAAACAAAAUAAUGCUUUUCAGCAUUUUUUCCAACAGGCAAGGCAUAUACUUAAGCACCCUUAACUCAGAUAAAGAGAGAAUAAGAUAAUGCUAAAACAGUGGGAAAAUUAAUAGUUUUUGUAAUAUCAUAAAAGAAACUAUAAUUAGGCCAUACCCAAAUGCUAUUCUUAAAAUUUUAUCAAUAUACAUAAAGUUUCAAAAUUUAAAAUUAACAGUAUCACUAAGAAGUUCAAAAUUAAUAUAUUACUACUAUGUUAUUAUUAAGAAAUCUUGCUUGUUUUAAUUUAAAGGGUAACUUUUAUGUUCAGAAGCUUUAGAACACAAAAUAGUAAACAACUUUAAAAAUAGAAGAGAAAUACUGUAGCUAAUAGUUUUUGCUUAAGAAUUCUAACAGUUAUACUUUGGAAUUAAAAAAAAAAAUGAGCAGGUUAUUCAGUUAACUGGAAAGUACCUCCAUGACAUCAGAUAGAUACUGACAUCCAAUAUUAAUGUGGCAGAAAUUUAGCUUAGCUUACAAACAGACCUGGCUCAUUGUAACCUCCUGAAAUCAUCCAGAGGGUAACCUUCAGGCUAGUAGAUAUGACCCUGGGGACAUAAUUGAGGUGUCUUUGUUUGAAAAACAUAUAA